UCACAGCACUCGGGAGUGAUGGAUCUGG
rnacentral:piRNA from 1 species